GAGAAUGCCGGUGUGAGUAGCGAAAGACGGGUGAGAAUCCCGUCCACCGAUUGACUAAGGUUUCCAGAGGAAGGCUCGUCCGCUCUGGGUUAGUCGGGUCCUAAGCUGAGGCCGACAGGCGUAGGCGAUGGAUAACAGGUUGAUAUUCCUGUACCACCUAGUAUCGUUUUAAUCGAUGGGGGGACGCAGUAGGAUAGGCGAAGCGUGCUGUUGGAGUGCACGUCCAAGCAGUAAGGCUGAGUGUU
rnacentral:rRNA from 13 species